AGUUUAAUGUGUUAUAUAUUAAAUACUUUCUGCUCAAUGAUUACUUGUUAAUUAAAUAGCCGCAGUACUUUGACUGUGCUAAGGUAGCAUAAUAAUUUGGCCUAUAAUUGAGGUCUAGAAUGAAAGGAGGCACCUAUAAGCAACUGUCUUGUUAGAGUUGUUUCGAAAUUUUUUAUUAGGUGUAAAUACCUAAGCAAACAUACUAGACGAGAAGACCCUUAGAGUUUUUAUCACUAUUUCUAUAACAUUUUUGUUGGGGCAACAUAGGAAUAGAUAACCUUCCUGAAGGUAAUAAAAACAUGCCGAAUUUUAUAUUAUGAUUGAAUACAACUACCUAAGGGAUAACAGCAUUAUCUUUAAUAAGGAUUGUGACCUCGAUGUUGGAUUAGGUAAAUUUGAUAUAAGCAAUAUCAUCUAAAAGUUCUGUUCGAACUUAAACACCU
rnacentral:rRNA from 1 species